AGUCGAGCGAACAGAUAAGGAGCUUGCUCCUUUGACGUUAGCGGCGGACGGGUGAGUAACACGUGGAUAACCUACCUAUAAGACUGGGAUAACUUCGGGAAACCGGAGCUAAUACCGGAUAACAUAUUGAACCGCAUGGUUCAAUAGUGAAAGGCGGCUUUGCUGUCACUUAUAGAUGGAUCCGCGCCGUAUUAGCUAGUUGGUAAGGUAACGGCUUACCAAGGCAACGAUACGUAGCCGACCUGAGAGGGUGAUCGGCCACACUGGAACUGAGACACGGUCCAGACUCCUACGGGAGGCAGCAGUAGGGAAUCUUCCGCAAUGGGCGAAAGCCUGACGGAGCAACGCCGCGUGAGUGAUGAAGGUCUUCGGAUCGUAAAACUCUGUUAUCAGGGAAGAACAAAUGUGUAAGUAACUGUGCACAUCUUGACGGUACCUGAUCAGAAAGCCACGGCUAACUACGUGCCAGCAGCCGCGGUAAUACGUAGGUGGCAAGCGUUAUCCGGAAUUAUUGGGCGUAAAGCGCGCGUAGGCGGUUUUUUAAGUCUGAUGUGAAAGCCCACGGCUCAACCGUGGAGGGUCAUUGGAAACUGGAAAACUUGAGUGCAGAAGAGGAAAGUGGAAUUCCAUGUGUAGCGGUGAAAUGCGCAGAGAUAUGGAGGAACACCAGUGGCGAAGGCGACUUUCUGGUCUGUAACUGACGCUGAUGUGCG
rnacentral:rRNA from 1 species